GAUGAACGCUGGCGGCGUGCUUAACACAUGCAAGUCGAACGGGAAACCUUUUAUUGAAGCUUCGGCAGAUUUAGCUGGUUUCUAGUGGCGGACGGGUGAGUAACGCGUGGGUAACCUGCCUUAUACAGGGGGAUAACAGUCAGAAAUGGCUGCUAAUACCGCAUAAGCGCACAGAGCUGCAUGGCUCAGUGUGAAAAACUCCGGUGGUAUAAGAUGGACCCGCGUUGGAUUAGCUGGUUGGUGGGGUAACGGCCCACCAAGGCGACGAUCCAUAGUCGGCCCGAGAGGGUGAACGGCCACAUUGGGACUGAGACACGGCCCAGACUCCUACGGGAGGCAGCAGUGGGGAAUAUUGCACAAUGGGGGAAACCAUGAUGCAGCGACGCCGCGUGAAGGAAGAAGUAUCUCGGUAUGUAAACUUCUAUCAGCAGGGAAGAUAAUGACGGUACCUGACUAAGAAGCCCCGGCUAACUACGUG
rnacentral:rRNA from 1 species